UUGAGAUUCUCUUGCAUAGUAUCAUUGUUGCAGACAAAGAUAUAUCCACCAAUUGUUUCAUUUCUGGGCAAAGAUUCAGAUGGGGGAAGGGUCUUGAACCUCUUGUCCAAAGCAUUCUUAUUAGCUUCCUUAUUAUCAUUUGUAUUUUCACCAUUGUUCUUCUUGUUACUGUUCUUCUUCCCAGACUUUCCACCAUUUUCUUCUUCAACCUUCCCUGUGUUCUUGUAGUUCUUCAGAUUUACAAAACUGUUACUGUUAAAGUUCCCAAUUUUUGAGUGAAUCCCUUUGUUAAAGCCUCCAUUAAUACCCUUUUGAGCUCCUCCAAUCACAGGAUCCACCCCCAUAUUAGCAGAAUUAAGCUUCCAUCCAUCAUUGAAGGCAUUAAAAUCAGACCCCUUUGGCUUGAAACUCCACCCAUUAUCAAACACAUUGAGUGCAUUCUUUUCAUACCCAGUUGAACUCAAGUUACUACUACUGGUGGUGUUGCUCCAAUUAUUAAGAUCAGAAGCAACACUGGGCUUAAAACUAUUCCAUCCAUCAUUGAACCGAUUGACAUCAGAAUCAGACACUUUAGGCUUAAAAUUAUUCAACGAAUUUACCUCUCCACCAUUUCUUACAUCGAAAUUCCUCCUCUCGUCGGGCCUCUUCAAGACAUACGAAUUACUCCAGAUAGAAUCGUUGAGCGACAAGUUGGCGAGAUUCCCAGUUUGCAGUCGAAGCUGGUCGCUGAAUUGCCUAAACGAUUGAGGGUUACUCUCCAUUUCAGAAGAAACCCAGGUCAGAAGUCAGCCUCAAACUCAGAGAAAUGAAAAACCCAGAUAGGAAAAAUCAAGAACAGAAAAGUGAGAGUAGAAAGGAGAAAUGAAGAAGUGGGGAAGA
rnacentral:misc_RNA from 1 species